UACGGAGGGUGCAAGCGUUAUCCGGAUUCACUGGGUUUAAAGGGUGCGUAGGUGGGUUUGUAAGUCAGUGGUGAAAUCUCCAAGCUUAACUUGGAACUGCCGUUGAUACUGAAAAUCUUGAGUCCGGGAGAGGUGAGUGGAACUGCGAGUGUAGAGGUGAAAUUCGUAGAUAUUCGCAAGAACACCAGUGGCGAAGGCGGCUCACUGGCCCGAUACUGACGCU
rnacentral:rRNA from 1 species